rfam:Firmicutes bacterium CAG:646 genomic scaffold, scf167
GGGCUUGUACUGGUUUCGACGGGGGUUUUGAAGUUUGGGAAGCCAUUCGCAGUUCCGGGACUGCGUCAUCAACCUGGAAAUUAAAUUUAAACGCAGACGAAAAUUUAGCGUACGCUGCCUAAUGGCAGCUGUCGCAGUUUAAGCCUCCCGCAGUUUAAACUGCGGCAUCAAAUUUUGCGGGGCACUUUUUCUUCAAAGCUUUGAGAGGAAAAAAGAUUUUAUGAAGCUACUGAUCUCUGCAGCCUGUCAUCCGGCGGCAGUCUGAGGGAAUGCUAAAAGAAUGACUGUAAUGGGAGAUGCCUGAAUGAAUAGGCUUUCGGACAGGGGUUCGAUUCCCCUCAGGUCCAUAC